CCUAGGAAUGAGCUUAGCAGGAAAAGAAGAAAGAACGGACCAAAAAUAUACAAGUAGAAGCUAAGAGGCAAAAAUCAUUAUGGUACAAACUAGAAAUACUUUAACUUUUUUUUCUUAAUUAGUUUAACAUCAUUCUUCCUUUUAGAAGGGAACUCUGUAAGGUCACAAUUUACAUUUUUCUUGCUAACUGCUGAAUGAAUGAAAGGAUGAAUUUAGUGACUUAAAUUCAGGAUACAAAUCUGUUUAUAUAUAGCCUACUCAUAUUCAUUCAUUCAUUCAACAUUUGUUGAGUUUCUAUUGUACCAGGCACUGUGCCAAUGCUAGAGAAAGUAGGACGAAUAGUCAAAGUCUUUGUUCUAAGGGAAUUUAUAGUUCUCCUGACCUUUAUUCAUUUAUCCUUGCAUUUAUUUUUCAAUCUCUCUUGACAUAUUUGUUGAGUACUUCCUAUGUAGUCAGUCACAUUAUGAGCUGCAUCAUGCAGGUUAAGAAAACAAAAAACAAACAAAAAAAAACCCAAAAAAAACCAGAUUUGACCCUACCUUUGAGCAGAUCAGUCUGAUGGGGGGAAGCAAGCAAAAAAGUAUAUGAAUACAUAAAUAAUUUUGAAUAAGGGUUUGUGCUCUGAAGAAAAUGCAAAGAAUGUGGUUAAUAAAAUGACAGAGGGCACUGAACCUCAAUGGGCAGGAAAGAGUCCCUGUGGAAAGGUCAAUUCAUUACACAAAAAGAGGUAACAUAGUAAAGUAGUGGCUUAGAGUCUGGGAUUUGGAAUCUAAAAGCCUGAUCUUGGCUGGAAAACUUAGUAGCUUUAUCCUGGAACAAGUUACUUUAAUUCUCUAAACCUUGGUUUUCUCAUCUGUAAUGAGAAUGGUGCUAGUACUUACAGGGUUCUCUUGAAGAUUAAAUAAGAUCAUCCACAUAGAGUAUUUAGUCUGGUGUAUGGCAUGUUUUAUGUACAUAAUAUCUCCUCAGAAAACCCCCAUGAAGUAAGUACAUAGUAUUUUUCAGACUUGGUAAUGGGGGUUCAAGAGGUUAAGUAGCUUGACUAAAUCACCAGCUGGAAAGAAUGAAAUAUGAAGUAAGUUCUAUCUGAUGUAAAAGCCUAUGUCCACCAGUAUUUUUUGUUAUUUUUGGUUUAUUAACUUCAUCUUUCAGCUUAACUUCACUCUUUUCUUUCUAAGCAACACAAUAAUGUAGAAUCAAUGCAAAUGGGGGGGGGUGGCAUUCUUUCUCCCUCUAUUUUGAUUACUUACCCCUGUCUGGCUUGAAGUAAGGAAGGAUGGGAUUGGGAGUUAGUAUUACCUUUCCCAACUAAACUUCAGGGAACCUUAUCUCUUCAUCAUUUUAAAAUAUAUACUUCCAACUGUUUUGCUAAUUAAGGUCAGUUUUUCUUCUCACAUACUUCUUGUCAUUUCACAUACACAGUAAAAUGUAGAAUGGAGGCAUUUGUAAAAAUGCAGGAUAGAAAACGGGUUUAUCUAAAUUGUUCGGCUGCUGUGAGACCCUAGGACUGACAGCUGGGAAUGGAUGGUCUAGGAAGGACAGCUCCAGUCAGAAUCAAUACUCGAUUGAUUGAUUCAUUAUUUGACUUCUAAUUUCUAUUGUGUAGAAAGAAUAUAGUACAGCAAGAUAUAGUCAAAAUUUAAUAUGCUUUCCAUGCUCAUGAAGUAAUGAUACUUAUUACUUCAUCAUUAUUAAGCUGCAACACGUUUUCUGAGAAGUUCUACCAUUCCUAAAGUAUUAUAUGCAUAUGAGAGUAGGUGGCAUUUUUAGAAGUGGUACAUCUUGGUUGCUAUCCCUCCUGUGGAGAUCUCAAGUAAGGAGACUAAGGGGAUGGGUACCGUGAUUUGUUCUGCCUGUAUUUUGGCUGAAGAAGCUUAACUCUACCAUGUCUAUUUCAUCAGAAAAUCAAUUUGUGAUAUUUGUGUAUCUUUGUGAAUCUAUUCUCAAACAAUCAUAGUACCAGAUUAAGAAAACACCUAUUCGGUCACCUCAUAUUUACCUUUCUAAGCCUCAGUUUUGUCAGCUGCCCAGUUGGUCUGGUUCCUGCCAGCUCUAACAUCAUGGCUCUCAGGUUAAAGAUCACCAAAAUGAUUAGCAGUUCUUCACUUCUACUGUGUUUUCCAGUUAUGGUUGUUGAUGACUGAUUUCUGAGCAUGGACAUCAGUGAAAAGUUAUGACUUUUAACCAGGUGGAAAUGAUGCAUUGGUGCAGGACAUUAAUGUUCUCAAUUUCUUUUAACUUACUGGACUGUGAAAUUCAUGAACACCUAAACCACUUUGAAAUUUUUAAAGCAUUUUUUAUAAAAGCAAAGUUAUAUUGUUCUUUAAAAAACAUAAAAAUAGCAACUCUGUGCUAAUGCUGGACUUAAAAUUUAGCAUAUGUUAUUUCAUUAAUCUUGUAUUAAUCCCAUGCAUUGGUGCCCUUACCCUUUAGAUGAAAUGAAGAUGCUCUGACACCAAGGUAGCUCAGUAGAACAUUCAGGCUUCACGAUUGCCUGAGUUGAAAACAUGACUUCACCACUUAAGUAAUUAUGUGUCAUUAAUAAGUUAAUAAACCUUGUAAGCUGAGUUUUCUUAUAUGUAAUGGAAUGGUUAUAAUAUACCACCUAACUCGAAGGGUUUUUCUGAGGAUUCAGUGAGAUGUGAUAUAAGUGUCUGGUAUAUAUGUAAUAAGAGAUCAUUAAAUGCUGUCUGUUGCUAACAUUGCUCACAGAGCCGUUAUGUGGUGGAACUUAAAGUUGAUUUCAAUGUUCUUUGUCUCAAAAGUCCAUACUGUUACCAGUGUACCAAGGGGAUCAGAAUAUGCCACUCCAAAACAUGACAUUUUGUCAUAAGGAUUAUUUUGAACUGAAAGCAACUGAGAAACAACAGACACAGAAAAAGACUCUCUACCUUCCCCCCUUCUGUUAAAAGCAGGGCAUAAAUUUGCCUUUGUGAAUGUGACUCCUUCCCUUCUCCUGUAAUUGGAAGAGGAGAGGACUCGUCAUUGGAGAUGAUACCAACUUAAAUCUGCAAUUUACAAACCCUGGAAGUCCAAGCCCCCUUUCCUUUGUCUUAAGGAGGUAAAUCUCCAUAGUUUACUGCUCUUUGUUAAAAUGAUUUAUAAGCUUUCAAACUUAACCACUUUGGGGGGCACUUUCACUUCAUUUUUAUGAAGUCCCUCCUCCACACUAACUAAAAAUGUUAAAACCAAAUAGAACUUACAUGUCUUUUCUUAUGUCUCUUUCAGCUUAAUUUGCGAGGCUCCAGUUGCUGGACAAAACAGGGUAGAGGAAAGGCGUUUUCCCUCCCCUAGACAUCCAGAGAUGAGAUAUCAGCCUCAGAUGACUUGUGAGUAAUUAUUAUUAUAUAUAGUACUUGCCUGAGUAUGGUGCUUUGAAACUGUUAUCUUGAAGUUAUUUUCCUUAUGCAGUCAGUUUUCUACCUAACAGUCAACAUAACCUUCUAAAUAUUUAAAUUGCAGGAUAACACAUAUUUUCCUAAACUACUUCAAUGGCUUUCCAUUGCUCCUAGGAUAAGAUCCAAAUUCCUGAUCCUAGCCUCUGCCCUGUGUCUUAAGACUUCUACUUAUUCACUCUGCUCAGCAGUAUAGUCAUCCCUUCAGUUCCUUCAACCUGGCAGACUUGGCAGUCAGGGAUUUUACACAUGAUGUUCCCUGUGCCUGGAAAAUACUUUCUCCCACUUUUCUCUUGGUUAAUUCUUCCUCAUCCUUUAGGCCUCAACUUAAUCAAUCAAUUAAUUAUUUUCUUAUUUUUUGGCCACACUGCAACACAUGGAAGUUCCCGUGACAGUGAUCAAAUCCGAGCCAAAGGUGUGACCUAUGCCAUAGCUGCAGCAACACUGGAUCUUCACCCACUGUGCCAGGCUGAGAUCAAACCGCUGAGCCACUGCAAAUACAAUGCCAGAUUCGUAAGCUGAUGAGCCCGGAGGGAACGUGUAGGCUUCAGUUUAAACAUUUUCUCUCAAAGAAGACAUCCCUGCUCAUACCACUCCCUUAGCUUCCCUGUCUCCAAUAAAUGCUAUUUAUAGUUCACGGCACUUACUACAGGUGCCAAUUAUGUAUUUAUUUAUGUUUAUUUGCAUAAUAUCUGCCUCUCCCAAUAUUCUGUUAACCUUCUAAGAGUAAAGGCUCUUUCUGUUUUGUGUAACACUAUGUGGGCUAAGAAAGAAUCUUUUUCAUUUAUAGGCACUCUUUCUCAGAAAUUCUAUUAUCCCAAUAAGUCUGAACUUCCUUGAGAGGUGUGUGUGUAUGAGUGUGUGUGAGAGAGAGAGAGAGAAACUGAGAGAAUUUCUAUUAUAGGUACUGUAAGCAUAAAGUUUCAUGGGAAAUAUAAAUACCUAUUACAUAACAUCGUCAAUUUUUAACCAUGUUUAUUUAAUAGUUUGGUAUUAUAAAAACAAGUUCAGAUACAAUGAUCUUCUCUACUCAGAGACUGUCAUUAUGUUCAACUUGAUAUUUGUUAUCCUGGUGCAUGUUUUUAUAUUAUUAUUACAGGUGAAUAUAUCUGAAACAAUAUAUAGCAUUGUUUAGCUCAUUUGUAAAUGUCAAGCAAAGAAAUUAUCUUAGUGAAUAUAUCAUACUAUUUUUUCAUUUUUCUUUUUUAUUUGUUUUUCUGCAUAUUACAUUUUAAACAUUUGACCAUGUUGAUAUCAGUAGUUCUAGUUCAUUCUUUUUCAUCAGUGUACGCUAUGAAAUUUGAUAAAUACGCUGCAUUUAUUUAUUAUCCUGCUGAUGAAUGUUUAGGUCAUUCCAAAUCUUUCUUUAACUCUCUCAAGAUUUGAAUGAACUUGUUUGUCUUGUCUCCUUGUGAACAUCUGCUAAUUUUCGCUGGGAAAUAUUCCUCAAAGUGAAAGUGAAGAGUCAAAGAACACGCUCAUUUUCAAAGGUAGUAGGUAUUUUAAAAAUGUUCUUCAGAAUGUACUAAUUUACUCCCUGCCCCCAUGAUAUGAGAGUUGCUUUUUCUCAGCAGUCGUGCCAAUACUUGACAUUGUCAACAGUUUUAAGAUUUGCCCUUCUCAUGGUUGUAGAAUGGUAUUCUAUUGACUUAAAGACAUUUUAUAUCCUUGAAAUAUGGUAGACAUUAAACAAAUAGUUUUGCCUUAUGCUAUCACAGCUGAAUAUUUCAUAUUAGUACCAGAAUUCAGCUUUUAUGCAUAUCAUGGGGAAGAUAGGAUCCCUGUGGAAGGGUUUUAUCAGUAAUGGGACAUCCAAAGUGCAGUUUCAUUGUAAGAUUUAAGAAAUCAGAGUUCCCGUCAUGGCUCAGAGGUUAAUGAAUCCAACUAGGAACCAUGAGGUUGCGGGUUUGAUUGCUGGCCUUGCUCAGUGCGUUAAGGAUCCGGCAUUGCUGUGAGCUGUGGUAUAGGUCGCAGAUGCCACUCAGAUCCUAUGUUGCUCCAUCUCAGGCAUAGGCCAGUGGCUACAGCUCUGAUUAGACCCCUAGCCUGGGAACCUACAUAUGCUGCUGGUGCAGCCCUAGAAAAG
rnacentral:lncRNA from 1 species